rnacentral:rRNA from 1 species
GACGAAGGUGGCGAGCGUUGUUCGGAAUCACUGGGCAUAAAGCGCACGUAGGCGGUGUCGUAAGUCGGAUGUGAAAUCCCUCGGCCUAACCGAGGAACUGCGUCCGAUACUGCGAUGCUUGAGGAUCAGAGGGGUGCAUGGAAUUUCCGGUGGAGCGGUGAAAUGCGUUGAUAUCGGAAGGAACUCCGGCGGCGAAAGCGAUGCACUGGCUGAUUUCUGACGCUGAGGUGCGAAAGCCAGGGGAGCAAAC